rnacentral:hammerhead_ribozyme from 1 species
AUCCAGCUGAUGAGUCAUAAAUAGGAUGAAACGUGCGUCCUAGAU